ACGCAAACCCAUCACAGUGCAGAGAACAACUGAUCAUCUACAACAGCUACAUCUACAACACAUAUACCUAGGGCUCAGGGAACAUCAAGGAAGGAGAGGAGGCAGACAGCUAAACAAUCUGUGGGACAGUCUCCUAGAAGUGACAGGGAGGCUUCACUCAUAAUACUUCAACAAUAUGGCUGCCUGAGCAAGUACAGCAAACAACAGAUAUGUUAACCUGAAGAGAGGAAACUCGUGGAGCCCAACCCGGAAAUGGGCAACUAAGGGAUGCUGAGAGCAGAGAAAGAGUCUUCCCCUGGAUGAGCUCCCUAGUGGUCAGCCUUGAAAUAAUAUACAUACAAGCAACACUAAACUGAAUCAGCAGACGUUUGGAAUCCUAACUCUCCAGGUGGCUUGUUCAUCCCAGGGAACGCUAACUGUAGGAAGUCCAGACAUGCUGAGAGUGCCACACUGGAAAAGUCACACACAAAGGCCAGAGACACUUCCACCUCAUCCCCAGUUGGAGUCCAUCACAGAAGGAAAUCAGGGUAGACACUCAAACCAGGAACCUGGGUGGAGGAAUGCUGCUUACUGGCUUCUUCUCCAUGGCUUGCUUGCUCAACUACCUUUUCAUACAAUCCAAAACACCCUGCCAAGGGGUGGCAUCACCCACAGUGGGCUGGACCCUCCCAUGUGAACCAUGAAUCAAGAAACAGAAAUCCACAAAGAUACCCCCACAACAGACUGCUGGCAAUGGUCGAGAGACAUCCCGAACUGACCUACUCUGGUAAUGGGAUGGCCAAACACCCUAAUUGUCAUGCUAGAAACCUCAUCCAACUAUUGAGGGAUCUGGAUGCAGAGAUCCAUGACUAGGCCCCGGGUGGAUCUCUGGGAGUCCAAUUAGCGAGAAUGAGGAGGGUUUAUAUGAGCGAGAAUUGUUGAGACCAAGGUUGGAUAAAGCACAGGGAUAAAUAGCCAAACGAACGGAAACACAUGAAAUAUGAACCAAUGGCUGAGGAGUCACCAACUGGAUCAGGCCCUCUGAGUGGGUGAGACAGUUGAUUGGUCUGAUCUGUUUGGGAGGCAUCCAGGCAGUGGGACCCAGUCCUGUGCUCAUUGCAUGAGUCGGCUCUUUGAAACCUGGGGCCUAUGCAGGGUUGCUUGGCUCGGCCUGAGAGGAGGGGACUGGACCUACCUGGACUGAGUCUACCAGGUUGAUCUCAGUCUGUGGGGAAGGCUUUGCCCUGGAGGAGAUGGUAAUU